AUUGAACGCUGGCGGCAGGCCUAACACAUGCAAGUCGAACGAGUGGCGGACGGGUGAGUAAUGUCUGGGACACUGCCUGAUGGAGGGGGAUAACUUCUGGAAAGGGUAGCUAAUCCCGCAUACUAUCGGAUGUGCCCAGAUUGGAUUAGCUAGUAGGUGGGGUAAAGGCACACCUAGGGGACGAUCCCUAGCGGGUCUGAGAGGAUGACCAGCAACACUGGAACUGAGACACGGUCCAGACUCCUACGGGAGGCAGCAGUGGGGAAUAUUGCACAAUGGGCGCAAGCCUGAUGCAGCCAUGCCGCGUGUAUGAAGAAGGCCUUCGGGUUGUAAAGUACUUUCAGCGGGGAGGCGGUACCCGCAGAGGAAGCACCGGCUAACUCCGUGCCAGCAGCCGCGGUAAUUC
rnacentral:rRNA from 1 species